UACGAGGGGGGCAAAUGUUGUUCGGAAUCACUGGGCGUAAAGGGAGCGUAGGCGGGUUUCUAAGUCAGGUGUUUAAUCCCGGGGCCCAACCCCGGACAGGCACUUGAAACUGGGAAUCUUGAAUAGUGGAGAGGUCAGUGGAAUUGGGGGUGUAGCGGUGGAAUGCGUAGAGAUCCCCAAGAACACCAGUGCGAAGGCGGCUACCUGGACCGGUUCUGACGCUGAGGCGCGAAAGCGUGGGUAGCAAACGAGG
rnacentral:rRNA from 1 species